rnacentral:misc_RNA from 1 species
GAUGAAGAACGCAGCGAAAUGCGAUAAGUAAUGUGAAUUGCAGAAUUCAGUGAAUCAUCGAAUCUUUGAACGCACAUUGCGCCCGCCAGUAUUCUGGCGGGCAUGCCUAUUCGAGCGUCAUUUCAACCAUCAAGCCCCAGGCUUGUGUUGGGGACCUGCGGCUGCCGCAGGCCCUGAAAACCAGUGGCGGGCUCGCUGUCACACCGGGCGUAGUAGAUUUUAUCUCGCUCAGGGCGUGCUGCGGGUUCCGGCCGUUAAAAAGCCUUUUUUACCCAAGGUUGACCUCGGAUCAGGUAGGAAGACCCGCUGAACUUAAGCAUAUCAAUAAGCGGAGGA